UAGUUGUUCGCGGUUGUUCGCGCUCUUUUUCAAACAUAGAUUAUGUCGUCAGUUUUACAGUUUUAACCGAUUAAAACACAGUUUUACGAAGAAUCACACAUAAAGAAAGGGUCUUAGUGAUAUUUUAACGACCCUUGCCAACGCAAGAAAGUUGGCGUUUUUACAACAGCAGCCUCAUUGUUCGGCAGGUUUUUGUUUUUUUUCUUCUCAUUAGCAUCAUUCAAAAGUGACUUAGCUAGCAGUGGCAACUUCUAUCUAAAACAAUUGAAAUAUAGCAAGGUGUUGUAUAUUUAGUGUGCUGAUAAGGUUUUCAAUAUUUUUAUUUUUUCUUCCAAGGCUGAAGGCCAAAGACAAAAAGACAGAAGAAAAAAAAAUUCAGACUGCAAUUAAUUUCAGGUGGAGACAGUAAACACAGGAGGCGCCUGAUAUCAACGUGAAACGCACUGCAGUACUUCGUGCCCUUCCUGUAUACCUGCGGGAGGAGGACCCAGAAUUCUUUUAGACAUGUAAUGCGGACGCAUUGGAUGAGUCGACCCUCAUUGACACUCCAGUUGCCCUUCUCACAGUGGUUACCGACGGCGCUUCCCAGUCCAGUCCAUUUUACUUCCUCAAGCAUGGCUGUUUUGGUGAAAGGCGACUAGGUGAUGCGUGAUAUUCCCAGAUUUGCAAAUGCAUUUGCUUUAUUGUUUGGCUUGAUCUAUGCUCUGCAUUUAGACUACCCCAGGAAGCUGGUUCACACAUUUGCCUUAGUCCAAAAUAUCUUCAUGGGGCUUGAUGACGGCAAACCCCUGAAACCCCUGCCUACAUGCUCUUAAGGAAUAUAAGGCAAUGUUUGUUAGGACACGCACUCUGUUACUGAGCACUU
ensembl:lncRNA